rnacentral:rRNA from 2 species
GGACCGAACCGACUAAUGUUGAAAAAUUAGCGGAUGACCUGUGGCUGGGGGUGAAAGGCCAAUCAAACCGGGAGAUAGCUGGUUCUCCCCGAAAGCUAUUUAGGUAGCGCCUCGUGAAUUCAUCUCCGGGGGUAGAGCACUGUUUCGGCUAGGGGGCCAUCCCGGCUUACCAACCCGAUGCAAACUGCGAAUACCGGAGAAUGUUAUCACGGGAGACACACGGCGGGUGCUAACGUCCGUCGUGAAGAGGGAAACAACCCAGACCGCCAGCUAAGGUCCCAAAGUCAUGGUUAAGUGGGAAACGAUGUGGGAAGGCCCAGACAGCCAGGAUGUUGGCUUAGAAGCAGCCAUCAUUUAAAGAAAGCGUAAUAGCUCACUGGUCGAGUCGGCCUGCGCGGAAGAUGUAACGGGGCUAAACCAUGCACCGAAGCUGCGGCAGCGAACGUAUCACC